UACAGAGGGGGCAAGCGUUGUUCGGAAUUACUGGGCGUAAAGGGCGCGUAGGCGGCCUGUUAAGUCGAACGUGAAAUCCCCGGGCUCAACCCGGGAACUGCGUCCGAAACUGGCAGGCUCGAAUUCGGGAGAGGGAUGCGGAAUUCCAGGUGUAGCGGUGAAAUGCGUAGAUAUCUGGAGGAACAUCGGUGGCGAAGGCGGCAUCCUGGACCGAUAUUGGCGCUGAGGCGCGAAAGCCAGGGGAGCAAACGGG
rnacentral:rRNA from 1 species